rnacentral:rRNA from 1 species
CUCGAUGAGUAGGGCGGGACACGUGGUAUCCUGUCUGAAUAUGGGGGGACCAUCCUCCAAGGCUAAAUACUCCUGACUGACCGAUAGUGAACCAGUACCGUGAGGGAAAGGCGAAAAGAACCCCGGCGAGGGGAGUGAAAAAGAACCUGAAACCGUGUACGUACAAGCAGUGGGAGCCCCACCACUAAGCCAGUGGUGAACUCCACAUACGCAUCCUUUGCUGAGGAUACGGUUAACGGAGCGAAAGCGACGUUCAACCUCAAAAGAAGCAGAGGGGGCUUAGUGGUGGGGUGACUGCGUACCUUUUGUAUAAUGGGUCAGCGACUUAUAUUCUGUAGCAAGGUUAACCGAAUAGGGGAGCCGGAGGGAAACCGAGUCUUAACCGGGCGUUAAGUUGCAGGGUAUAGACCCGAAACCCGGUGAUCUAGCCAUGGGCAGGUUGAAGGUUGGGUAACACUAACUGGAGGACCGAACCGACUAAUGUUGAAAAAUUAGCGGAUGACCUGUGGCUGGGGGUGAAAGGCCAAUCAAACCGGGAGAUAGCUGGUUCUCCCCGAAAGCUAUUUAGGUAGCGCCUCGUGAAUUCAUCUCCGGGGGUAGAGCACUGUUUCGGCUAGGGGGUCAUCCCGACUUACCAACCCGAUGCAAACUGCGAAUACCGGAGAAUGUUAUCACGGGAGACACACGGCGGGUGCUAACGUCCGUCGUGAAGAGGGAAACAACCCAGACCGCCAGCUAAGGUCCCAAAGUCAUGGUUAAGUGGGAAACGAUGUGGGAAGGCCCAGACAGCCAGGAUGUUGGCUUAGAAGCAGCCAUCAUUUAAAGAAAGCGUAAUAGCUCACUGGUCGAGUCGGCCUGCGCGGAAGAUGUAACGGGGCUAAACCAUGCACCGAAGCUGCGGCAGCGACACUAUGUGUUGUUGGGUAGGGGAGCGUUCUGUAAGCCUGCGAAGGUGUCUCGUGAGGGAUGCUGGAGGUAUCAGAAGUGCGAAUGCUGACAUAAGUAACGAUAAUGCGGGUGAAAAACCCGCACGCCGGAAGACCAAGGGUUCCUGUCCAACGUUAAUCGGGGCAGGGUGAGUCGACCCCUAAGGCGAGGCCGAAAGGCGUAGUCGAUGGGAAACAGGUUAAUAUUCC